ACGUAGUUAGCUUGUUCUUUAAGCUUCCAACAUGUGUGGCACAUGGCUAACUUGUUGACCAAGUUUCUAACCUAAAAGUCAACUAUAGACUCCUAUAAAGUCAAAGCAGCGUCUAUGAAGCUUCUAAGAAGCUUCUCUAGAAGAUAUUACACAAUUAACCUACUUUUAUCUACUUUUACAUACUUUUAUCUAUUCAUAUAGGUAAUUAUAUGUAUGUCCUUGACAUUACCCCCCCUUCUAGGGACGAGUUCCACGAGGAGCGGUGAUUAUAUAUUGAGAAAAUCUAAUAUGCGGCGAAUUGUAUUUGCUACAUACUCUGAUCUUUGUUCUCUUCGAAGAUAGUUGAUGGGUCCUCUUAGCCAUCGAUAGUGUCCCAUUCCAGGGCGAGAAGACCACCCUGUUAUUUGAUCACUGUUGAGGCCUUCAUAACUUCCUUCAAAUAAUACAUUUGAAACACCAUCAGGAGUCGUUCCUAUCUCCAAUAAUAUCACCAAACAUCGAGAAUCUCUUCCAAGGUCGUGAUACCAAACGCGUUGUAUCUCACCAUCUAUUCGAGGAAGAACAUGUCGUUCUUGAGGGUCUUCAUGUCGGUUGCGUCGUCUUGAAGGUUGUGACAAUCGCAAUGUCUCAUCCGGUAAGUCAACAAACGAAGGUUCUUGAGUUGA
rnacentral:lncRNA from 1 species